UGCUCUUCCACCCGCCUGGCAGCCCCUUCCCAGCGCCUUCUUUACCUGGCUAACUCCCACUUCAGACAGGAUAGAAGACAGUGUAGAGAGCACAAACCCCAGCGCACUGCCAGCAUCUAGCAGAGUGGACGCUCAAGCAGCCUUUGUUUAAUGAAUGAAUGAGCAGACAGGCCACCCACCUGUGGCUGGAAUCCGGGAGGGUUUUGCCCUGUGCAGGACAGUCCAGCACUGUGUCAUUCGGUCAUUUCGUCCUCACACGAAUGCAGGCCGAUGAGCUGUGUGUCGUCUCAUGCAUGCAUGCCAGUGAACUUUGAGGAUCAGUAUUUGUUUUUUAAAAACCAGGACUCUUCACCCCGGGAGCCCCAGUCUGUCUCUGGCAGACUGUUGUCUUAGCUGAAACAGUAAAAGUGGAAUUAACCAGCUCAACAUGGUAACACUGCGACUAGCGAUGGAAACCUUGCACUUCUAGAAUUUAGUGAGCCUUUUUAAAGAAAUCAAUUAUUGUCUAGCAACUCCACGAUUAAAGUACUUUAGAGUUCACAAAUGUGAAGACAUGCCUGGGGGAAAAGGGCUUAUGUCACAGAAGGGGGGGAACAACUGAUUGUAAAGCCAUGUCUAUGCUGAUCGUAAGUAUAUGAAAAUUAGACAGCAUAUUGGCAGUAACUGGGAGGAAACGUUAAAACAGCUGGUUUUAAGAAUGGCAAGAUUAGAGACAUUCUUUUCUUUCAUUUUCUUUUCUCACUUGAUUUCUGCUUUUAUUGCAACAAUAUUGCUCUGCCAUACAAGGUUGUCAGCUAAAUAUCUAGGUUAUACUUAACAUAUGGAAAAAUCAUAAUUCACCUAGAGUGAAUUAAAAAUUAUAUUCUACCUUAAAAAUGAAAGUGGACAAUAUGAAGCUUCCUUACC